rnacentral:rRNA from 1 species
GACGAACGCUGGCGGCGUGCUUAACACAUGCAAGUCGAACGGAAAGGCCCUGCUUUUGUGGGGUGCUCGAGUGGCGAACGGGUGAGUAACACGUGAGUAACCUGCCCUUGACUUUGGGAUAACUUCAGGAAACUGGGGCUAAUACCGGAUAGGAGCUCCUGCUGCAUGGUGGGGGUUGGAAAGUUUCGGCGGUUGGGGAUGGACUCGCGGCUUAUCAGCUUGUUGGUGGGGUAGUGGCUUACCAAGGCUUUGACGGGUAGCCGGCCUGAGAGGGUGACCGGACACAUUGGGACUGGAAUACGGCACAGACUCCUACGGGAGGCAGCGGUGGGGAAUAUUGCACUAUGGGCGGAAGCCUGAUGCAGCAACGCCGCGUGCGGGAUGACGGCAUUCGGGUUGUAUUCCGCUUUCGCCUGUGACGAAGCGUGAGUGACGGUAAUGGGUAAAGAAGCACCGGCUAACUACGUG